rnacentral:tRNA from 1 species
UCCGGUAUGGUGUAACGGCUAACAUUACCGCCUUUCACGCAGUAACGCGGUAGCUCGGGGUUCGAUUCCCCGUACCGGAA